CUGGGGCGUUGGCUAGGAAGGGGUGGGAGGGCCUCUCUGGAGUCACAGAAGCCUCAUGCAUCUUGACCAGGACGGUGGAUGCAUGGCUUACAUUGGUCACAACUUGUCAACUUGUAUGACUGAAAACUGAACAUCACAUUGAAUUGGACUCAAAGGCAAGACCUGAGGCAAAAUUCAUGUAAGGAGGGAGUUUGGGCGAAGCUUGAGGACUGCUGCCCGGAAGCGUAGAUUCAAGUUGCCCUGAAUACACCUCCUAUUAGCAGCUGUUACAGCUAAAGAAACAGGCUCAGAGAAUGUUAUUUGAUUGGACCGUGUUGCAUUUCUGGACAGUGCAUCUGAGAUCAGACUUUGUGUGUAACUCCACUAGCCUACCAGGGUGCCUCUCAUAAGGGUCUCCCUCUGUUGCCCAGGCUGGAGUGCAGUGGCGUGAUCUCGGCUCACUGCAAUCCCCACUUUCCAGGCUCAAGCGAUCCUCGUCCUCCUACCUCAGCCUCCUGAAUAGCUGGGGCUACAGGCCGUUUUAGACCACUCCCACUGCCUGGACUGCUUUUAGAAGCCCCCACUCACCCUCCAAGGCCUUACGGAAGCACCGCCUCCUCCAGGAAGCCUUCCCUGACCUCCCGGCAGAGUCAGCAGAGCCCACGGGCUUGUGGAAUCAUUGAGUGAAGCAUGUGCCAAUUUACCCGUCAUCAGGAGCCUCCGGGAACUCUGGCAGACUUUCGGCUUGCAGGCCCACUUCUUCCAUCUGCCCAGCAGCGAAAGAGAU